AGUGGCUUCCGGAGCUAACGCGUUAAAUCGACGCUGGGGAGUACGGCCGCAAGGUUAAAACUCAAAUGAAUUGACGGGGGCCCGCACAGCGGUGGAGCAUGUGGUUUAAUUCGAUGCAACGCGAAGAACCUUACCUACUCUUGACAUCCAGAGAAUUUAGCAGAGAUGCUUUAGUGCCUUCGGGAACUCUGAGACAGGUGCUGCAUGGCUGUCGUCAGCUCGUGUUGUGAAAUGUUGGGUUAAGUCCCGCAACGAGCGCAACCCUUAUCCUUUGUUGCCAGCGAUUCGGUCGGGAACUCAAAGGAGACUGCCGGUGAUAAACCGGAGGAAGGUGGGGAUGACGUCAAGUCAUCAUGGCCCUUACGAGUAGGGCUACACACGUGCUACAAUGGCGUAUACAAAGAGAAGCGACCUCGCGAGAGCAAGCGGAACUCAUAAAGUACGUCGUAGUCCGGAUUGGAGUCUGCAACUCGACUCCAUGAAGUCGGAAUCGCUAGUAAUCGUAGAUCAGAAUGCUACGGUGAAUACGUUCCCGGGCCUUGUACACACCGCCCGUCACACCAUGGGAGUGGGUUGCAAAAGAAGUAGGUAGCUUAACCUUCGGGAGGGCGCUUACCACUUUGUGAUUCAUGACUGGGGUGAAGUCGUAACAAGGUAACCA
rnacentral:rRNA from 1 species